GUAGGUGGCAAGCGUUGUCCGGAAUUAUUGGGCGUAAAGCGCGCGCAGGCGGUUCUUUAAGUCUGAUGUGAAAGCCCACGGCUCAACCGUGGAGGGUCAUUGGAAACUGGAGUAACUUGAGUACAGAAGAGGAAAGCGGAAUUCCACGUGUAGCGGUGAAAUGCGUAGAGAUGUGGAGGAACACCAGUGGCGAAGGCGGCUUUCUGGUCUGUAACUGACGCUGAGGCGCGAAAGCGUGGGGAGCAAACAGGAUUAGAUACCCUGGUAGUCCACGCCGUAAACGAUGAGUGCUAAGUGUUAGGGGGUUUCCGCCCCCCUUAGUGCUGCAGCUAACGCAUUAAGCACUCCGCCUGGGAGUACGGCCGCAAGGCUG
rnacentral:rRNA from 1 species